rnacentral:lncRNA from 1 species
GAAAGGAUGUCAAGGCCAGUGGUUCUGGAGAGCACAGAAGGGACAGGCCGGGAUUCAGCUCCAGGGAACUAUCUGCAGAGACAACCCAUCUGCUCAGAGAAAGGGAUGCUUUCACACCAGGGUUGAGAGGGAACACAGAUGGGAAGGUCAGCCACAAGAAAGAGAAGAUGAUGACCGGUAUAACAUUGUCCUCACAGUUGUUAUGGAAAAUAGUAUGCUGAUCCUUCAAAAAAUUAAAAUUAGAAUCACUAUAUGCUCUAACAUUUCCACUGCUGGGGCUAUAGUGAAACGAAAGCAUAGAUUCAAACAGAUACUCAUACAACGUGUUUAUAGCAGAAUUGUGCACAAUUGUCACAAGGUAGAAGCAACUCAUAUUCAUAGGUGGAUGCAAAACUAAAGAAAAUGUGGUAUAUGCAUGCAAAGGAAUGUUACUCAGCUUUAAAAAUAAAGAAAAUUCCAACUUGCAACCUGGAUAAACUUGAAGACACUACACUGAGUGAAAUAAACCAUAAGCAAAAAGGCAAUAUAUGAAUCUACUUAGACGAGCUACCUGGACUACUCAAAUCCAAAGAAAUCAAAAGUAAAUUGGGAGGGC